CACCCCACAUGUUGCUGACAGCAAUUGGCUAAGGGGCUGCGGCUUUCCGAACCCUCUCUCCCGCCCGUGACUAUGAAUGGACAUCGGCGUUGUCAGUCACCCGUACUGCGCCGCAACCAGGCCCUUGGCCGGUCUUUCUGUCUUUCUUUCGUCGCUGAUUCCUACCUCAUCCUGGGCAAGUUCAGGGUAGCACUUGGGAGCAGAGGAGCUUCGGCAAGGAAAGUCAGCCCGCAUGGCCCUAACGUGACCGUCGGUUAUGGGAGGGUUUUAGGCCUAGGAGGAGCGUGGAAAGCGCACAGAGGAACUAAGGCUUUGCUACCGUUGGUCCAGGCGGACUGUGAGCCUCCAGUUCAAAAGCUGGACAGAGUUGGCGGCAGCGAAAACCGAGGAAUCCCAGCUGCGUCCUUAUCUUCUUCUUCCCACCCCAGGUCAAAGGUAGAACCUGAGCCACUGCCUCUCGGGUGGGACGAAUGGAAAAGGUCAUAAGAUCUCGUUGCCAGUCGCUCGAGACGCCCAGCGGCGUCCUGGCGCGGGUCACACAGCACCCUGUAACAGGCCUUCUUGGGUCUUCGCCACUGUGCCGCGUUCCCUGCCCCCGUCUCCCUCCCCAAGCCCUGGAUCCCCGGUCGGUCGCAGCCACAGGUUGCUGCACCCCGGUGCGCGGCGCCCCCCUCCGCGCAGCCUCCGCCGGGAGUUGGAACCCAACAUCUGUGUGCACAAUGCGCUCUCCGAGGCCCACAGCUGCAGGCACAAGGGGAAGAAAGGAAGGAGCGGGGGAGCAGAUCCUGUCACACGCAGAUGACAGUCUGCAGAGGGCUCUUUAGUGUCUCCUUUUCUGGAAGCCCUGGCGCCCCCCUCCCAGUUCCCUCUCCUGCCGCCUCCCCAUUGUUCCUAGCGCUCCGGACAGCUGGAGACGACGACCACACCACCCGCCGCUCUCCCUCCGCUCCCCUCCCGCCGCUCGCCAGGCGUCCCCUCUGGCAAUCCGCGGUCCCCACCAGGGCAGGGCCAGGCGGGGAUGCACCGCCUCGUACCCCACCCCCGGCUCCGCCCCGACCUGCUGGUGCCGGAGCUUCGCCUUCGUGCACCUCUCCGGUUGUCCGCCCCUGGCGGAGUCGGCGGGCAAGGCCCCUGGCAGGGCUUUGAGAAGAGAUCCAGUCCUGCGGCGCGCCGGCCUCUCAGCAGCGCGCUCCGGGGACUCCACUUUCACUUGUAUUUCUUGUUUUUACCGGGCCGGGAAGGCGCGCUUCGCAGAGCCCCAGGGCACGCGGUGCUGCAUGGGCCACGGUCCACGGAGGUAGGAGAAGGCCUGGGGUGCCAACCGCAGGGAACUUGAUGGGGCUGGAAGGGGACAGGGAGUUCCGGAAGAGGCCAAGAGUCGAAGCCUCAGCCGGUUACUCCCACGCCCCUACCUCCACAGGCCGGUAGGGGUAAGUCACCCGGGCCCUCUAGUCCGACUCUCAGCGGGCCGACACGGGCGGGCAGAGGGACCAGGAUGCUGUGGCCCUACGCCUUGCGCUCUGAGGCAUCACCGUCGGCCAAGACCCUAGCGGCAGCGGUUCCUGUCCCUCUCUGCGACCGUCCUCACGGCUGUGGCCGACCGGCUGCCCUGUGCCUCGGCGUCCCCCGCCAGCGUUCCGGGCUGGGAGCGUGGCCCAGGGCAGAGACAGGGGAGGGGAGGUGGCGCGCGCGGAAGAGAGGAAGAUAAGGGAGAGAGGCGGCUGGGGAGCCAGGCUGGCAGGAGCUGACCUGCGCCCUCAGCCUGGCUGGCAACCGGCCCUCCAUAGCAACGGCCUGCCAGAGCCUGUGGGCGCGCGCGUUUGUGCGCGCGCGCGCGAAUGUGUGCGGUGAAGAUCUGAGCCUUCCCAGUCCCUGGGUAACAGAGGCUGAACAGGAUCGCACAAUCCCGGGUCGGGGACCGAGGAGUCCCCUUCAGGAGGGAGGCUCAGCUUUGCAGGUGCGGCUGGCGCCUUAGGGCCCGGGAUCCCUCUCGGCCCGGGGUGGGGAUGCGCCCAUCUCAAGCUCGGUUUCAGGGUCCCGGGGCUCCUGGCCUCCUGCCCAAACCUCCUGUUGCAGCCGCAGGAUCAGGGAAUUGCGCGUGGUGCGGCUCGAGCGAGCGCCUGAGAUCUGGCCCGGAGCGUGCGCCCCCGUCGGCUGGCUCCCCAGAGCCCAGAGGGGCUGAGCGGAACAGGCCGAGCGACCCGUGGCCACCCUCCGCUGGGAACCUGCUCGCCGGCCUCAGGCGCUCCUCUUGUCCUCCAGCCACGUGGGAUUCCCUGCUGGCCCAGCCGCAUCCCGCAGCUCAGUUUCGGAGAACCGCGUGAGGGCCCGGCAGUGGGCCCCAGGAUCCUGAAGCCACCGAAUACAGGCUGAACCCCAGAGUAGGGCAUGCAGCUCCAGGCCAGAUGGCCAGCUUUGUGUUCUCCACAAAUUGAUGUGACUUGACAAGUAAGUGAGUAAAAAAUUAUUUCACGUAGUUUUCUGUCGUCCCAAAGGAUCCUACUUUCAUGUCAAAGCACCACACUAGAUUAGACCUGAACUGAAAAACCCAGUCUUUCCAACAAGUGGAGGAAGGAUGGGCUCGGAGGUGGCUCAAUGUAAGUUGGAUUUUGGUCACUUUCAAAAGAGUGAGAUGGCUUUAAAGGCACCAUAGAAAAGUACGUCCCCCCCCCCCCNNNNNNNNNNNNNGGCUUCCCCUGUGGUGGGCAGUGACUUGCCGUGGACAGCCCUGACCCAUGGCCCCUGCUUCCCAUGGACAGCCUCCAGGAUUCUGCUUGAUCCCACACCAUGCUGGUCAGUUCCCAAGGGGAAAGACAGACUCUCCAAGAAAUUCAGGAAAAGAAGUGUUUGUAAUUUAAGUGGGGACCCAUUUAGCCUGCUGCUUCAGAAACAGGUAAACUAACCUACUAGAUUCUCAUUCUAUUUCAUUUUAAAUUCCUUUCUCAUUUCCAGGGCAGAAAAAAAUAUAUCUUUUAAUUCAUGAAAACACUCUGGAAAAGUUUCCUGGCAGUCAUGACUCAGCUAUCUUGAAGAAUGAAUAAUGAUGUUAGCUUUGUUAUUUUCUAAUGUUUUGGUCAGGAGGCCCUGGACUUCAUUUAAUAAUAAAUAUGAAUUUGUAUAAUUUUGAUAACAUUUCAGAAAAAUUUCAACACGAUACAAAACAUUUCUGAAACAUGUUGAUUGAAAUCAUUUAUAUAUGACAAAUGAGCACAUGAUUCACACAGAAGUUAGGGUUGCUUGACUAAUGAAUAAAAAAAUCUGGCAUUUGUAGAAUUUCCCAAGACUCACAAAAUGCCUAAACAAUAUAAGUAGUUUAAAAUGAUUUGCCGAUCCCUGCUAAUUCUUCUUUUUAAGUGUGCUUCACAUUUGUCAUGUGUAAAAACUAAUGUGCUGUGAUAAGAAUCUCAUUUUCAAUUUAGGGAACAAUGGGCUGGUUGGUAGAGAUCACACAUUUCAGUGAUUAGAAUAAAUCUCCAGUGUUCUAAAUUAUCAAAGAAAACCUAUUUUUAAACAAAAUAGAGAAUGGCUGUUAUGGAAAAUACGAUUAUUAUAAAGCAAAAUACUUUUAGGAACUUAAAAUAUAUGGUAAGGUAGAAAAUAUUUUUUAAAAACCUUUUAAAAACCUGCUUCAUUUCAUAAAAUUCUAAGCCG
rnacentral:lncRNA from 1 species